ACACACACACACACACACACACACACACACACACUAUUUGUAAAACUUGCUUGCGUUCAGCUUUGGAGCUCCUUCUGUCUCGAAGAGGUUUUUUUUUAUUAAAUUUUUAUUAAAUUUCCCUAUUCCUCACAAACUGCAUUAAUGUUUUAGACCGUCAGGGCUCGUGCAUGAGGAGUCAGCUUUCACACACACACACAGCUGGAUUUUUUUUCUCUCCUGAAGGGACUGUGCUCCCACACUUCGAGAGGUGCCAAGAGAUUCGAGAGCCACUUCUGUUGAGCUGUGUGUGUGUAGAGGUUGUAAGAUCUUCAAUGCCUCCUAUGGGAAAUGGUCCAGACUGGAACAGAUCCAGAGCCACAUACAGCCUAUCAUAAGCGGUUGCGCUCCUGAAGUAUACCUCCUUCACCACAACAGAAGUCUGAGCUGACUAUGGUCCACAGCUGAAGAAGUGCUUGUGUAAUUCCCAGUAUGUCUCAGAAUUCAGCUAUUUGUAGUUCAUCUUCUUCUCCAGGACCAUGUGCAUUUUUCCAAUCAGCAGCAUGAAAUCUUUUUUCCUGGUCCACAUGUGGUUAGAGUUUGGUGCUACAGUAAAGACUGGCUUGUGCUUUAUCAAAUGUUUGUCAAGCUAUGACAGAGAUGAGGAUGUUGCAGUUUUUAAUGUGACCUUAGAGAAAUUGUGUUGAUACACAAUCAUGCUGUCUCAGCAUUGUUGGAUUAAGUACUUUAAAGUAUAGUUGGUAGAGCUACAAGUAAUCUUAGCCUGUCGAACACAGAGCACCUGAUUUUGUUCUUACAUUUUUCUGGCCACAGGCAUCAUGAUCUUAAAGACUACAACCUUAUUGUAUCUCAUAUAUGUACCUCCAUGUCUAGGGAGUUUAUCAGUGAACUACCGAAAAUCUGUAUAUCUAUAUCUAUGCAACAUGAAAUAGCUGUUUCUUCUAUAAAAGAUAUAGAUUCAUUGCCACGGGUAACGA